CUGCUAUCAUUUCUACAAUACUCUGUUGGUUACGUGGCCAGCCCUGUUGGAUACAAGGGCCUGUACAAGGCAUGGAUAUCUGGACGUGGGGAUGGUGAAGGAGCCUUGGAGCCUGCUUACUUUUCUCCAUACAUCAAGAGCUGGACCUAUGGAAAUUUUAAAAAUUUAAGUUGGGGAUUUGACCUUCCUGAACACUGCGCUGCCUGGCUGAGGGCUGACUUACAAGAGCCAUCCUUUGGCUUACUUGCUCCGAAAAAGAAGGUCAAAUCAAACUCCAACAGCAUUGUCUCCUAAGUCUGCCAGCUGGAAUUUACCUGUUAAGUGCAGCUAAAGGUGAAGUACCCGUGGGACGCAGGGUAGCAAAUAGCCCUGCUAGCAGAGAGCAAGCAGCUGUCACCAAGGAACUAAAGUGAGAAAAAUGCAAAGCAUGCAGCAGCAGUCCUCCAAAUGUGGCCCUGAGGGUUCCAAGGUCAUUUCAGUGGGUCUUUUAUGACAGAAAGAGAGAGGAUGCUAGUUAGCCAGUUAUGCUUAAGUGAGUCUGAUGAAGCAAUAAAAAAUUACUAAGUGACCCU
rnacentral:lncRNA from 1 species